rnacentral:rRNA from 1 species
CAGCCGCCGCGGUAAUACGAAGGGUGCAAGCGUUACUCGGAAUUACCGGGCGUAAAGCGUGCGUAGGUGGUUGUUUAAGUCUGCUGUGAAAGCCCUGGGCUCAACCUGGGAAUUGCAGUGGAUACUGGGCAACUAGAGUAAGGUAGAGGAUAGUGGAAUUUCCGGUGUAGCAGUGAAAUGCGUAGAGAUCGGAAGGAACAUCUGUGGCGAAGGCGACUAUCUGGGCCAUUACUGACACUGAGGCACGAAAGCGUGGGGAGCAAACAGGAUUAGAUACCCGGGUAGUCCCUGUCUCUUAUAC